rnacentral:lncRNA from 1 species
GCGAAAGGACUGACAGAAGAACGAGAGUAAAAAUGACCAGUCAAGUGUGUCGAUAGGAAAGGAAGAUGGUGACACGUGUUUGAUGAAACUGGCGAUGCGCAGUUUUCCACUUUUCAAGAACGAAACAAAGUAUGCAGCCAUACCUAUAGCGACUAAAAAUAAACAUUAAAAAUUACAUAAUAAAAACCACUAAAGACAGAGAGAAGAAACAACACAGGAUAAAAGGCAUUCAGGAGGAAGGAUGGUUUGAGCACUUGGUUUGAAACUGUGAAGGAACUUCUAGCGACGACACGUGACACCAGACCACGUGACUGCCGCUUUCUACGCGCACACGGAGGACUGGUACAGAGGCAACCACAGUGAACACGACAGUGAACACCUCAGUGGUCUACAACAUUCAUGUGUCGGGAGGCAGACUGGCACAAAAACACACCAUCAUCGGGGGUCGAUGGAAAUACGAUGUCAGCAGAGUGCAUCGCCAUAACUGACGUUUAUAAUCUUCGUCGAACGUUUGACCGAGCAAAAUCAGUUGCUGCGACUGUUGCCAUGACUGCAUCCACGAGUGGACACACGAGACAGAGAGAGAACAUGUAACCGUUACUGUGGCUGCCCGAGGGCGUGAAGACGUGUACAUCACGUGCGAGAUGCUCAUGUCACGUGCUGAGUGCGACACUAGUGCGGAGACAGGGCUGCUGUCAAGAGACCACGUGUCUAUAUUCAGGUACAGUCCAACCCAGCGCAUUCUCUGUAUGUGAUUAUACAAUGAGAGAGAUGGCGAGGGAUCAACCUCCAUGGACUUUCCCUUCAGCCAAGAUACGCAGAAAUGUAUGAGCUACGUACAGUGAACAUUGCAGUGAACAGACCUCUGCUGAUCAGUGAACAUUGCUGUAGAAUAGACAUCUGUGGAAGAUGCUAACGGGUUUCUUGCCAAUUUAAGGAAUUUCGCGAAGAGAAGGAGUGGCAGCCAGGGCAGGUGUUCAGCGUCAAUGAAGCUGCUCUGUUUUGGGAGAAAUUCCAUAAAAGAUAUUCAUUAGCACAGAAAAGAAGCGAGCACUUCUAAGGCAGACUGGAAUAGGAUACCCUGGUCUUUUGUACAAAGCCUGGCAUGUGAAAAAGCCUACAGUGAUUUAUAAAGCCGACCAUUGAAAGGCAAAUGUCUUCUAGCUGCCACUUUUGUGGAUCAUAAUAAGGCGUGGAGAACAAAUACAGCUUUUAUUGGAGUGGCUUGAGCGAUGUUUGUGCUGGAAGUAAGAAAAUACAUUGCCACUGAGGGAACACAUUCCUGGAUGUUGUUGGAACUGGCUAAUGCCCUCCAGACACCACAACCCCAUGACUUCAGCACCGAAAGCACCCAAGUCAUCUGAAUCACCCUAACACCACGACUUUCAUUCAGCCUGUCGGUAGGAAAGGAUGUAAAGAUGAUAUCAAUGUUAUCGAAGAUGACCAUAACGUGGCAACAUUAUUAAAAUGAUGGAAGUCCAUUAUCGCGCAGGUCAUAAAUGCCAUUGAAAGAACCAUGAAAGUGCCAAUCCAGAGACAAAAGAUCCGCUCUGGAAGAAUCUUUGACCAGAAUGUAUCGACGACUUUGUACUGAGGCAGUCAAAGAGAUUAUGAAAGACAGUCGGCAAAGGAAGCGAGUUGGGGAGGGUUUAGGGA